rnacentral:lncRNA from 1 species
CGGGCCCGGGGCGUGAGGGGAGCGCAGGGCGGCUCCGGGAUCUGGGGGUGGCACAUGGUGUGCGGAGCGGGUCAGGCUGUGCAGGGGUAGGACAUGGUGUGCGGAGCGGGUCAGGCUGUGCGAGGGCGGUCCGGGGUGGCACAGGGGAUGCGGAGCGGGGACGGGAUACCGCGGGAAGCACGCAGCGAUGUGAGGGGCCAGGGAACCGCGCUCCCGGCGCUGCUGAGCCCUGUGUUAGCGCCUGCUCUGUUCCGAGGCAGCACCGACACCCCGCGUACCGGGUUGGAAUGUCCUUUACAGCAUGGACCAUCCCGCCCCGCUGCUUUAUGGAACUGGCAGGAGUGACAGCAGGCAGCCCCCUCCUGGCACAGCUUCCGUCAUCUCCCGUGCGUGUGGCAGCACCGGCCUCUCCGUCAGUCCCUGGGCUGGAGAAAGCCAAAAGCUUGACCGUCCUGAAUCUUCAAAUUACAAACAUACCCAGUCCAGACUCAGAAUGAGCUGCAGGAACUCUCCAGGUCUGGCUGCUAGAGACAAAGCAAAUGGAUAAAUCUACUGUGACGUCUCUCUGCAGGUGAAAUGCCUCCUGUCCCUCAAGUGGCUCAGCAGAUUAGCCAGGAGGAAAACCAGCAGCAAAAUGGACCAAAUUUGUCAAGUUGGCUUAAUUCCUUACCUGCUGCAUAUGACAGGAACCCAGUUCUGCCCCAGCAGGUACAGCCAGCAGGCUGGGAUAGGAACAAUGUGCUUGUGGUCCCAGCUCCGGCUCCCUCACAACAACAGGACACAGACUGGCCUCUCCUUGAUGAGAUUGGCAUGGAAAACCAAAUUAAUUGCUACAAAGCACAAAUGCUGCCAAAACUGAAGGUAACUGGAAAGUUUAUUGAAGACAUCUCCUGCUCCCUUUCAUCAGCCAGACUUAAGCCAGUGAAGUUCAAACCAAAAAGAAGCUUUAUCUGGUCACAAUAG